rnacentral:rRNA from 1 species
GAUGAACGCUGGCGGUAUGCUUAACACAUGCAAGUCGAACGGACUCUUCGGAGUUAGUGGCGGACGUGUGAGUAACGCGUGAGAAUCUGGCUUUGGGUUCGGGACAACCACUGGAAACGGUGGCUAAUACCGGAUGUGCCGAGAGGUAAAAGAGAAAUUGCCUGGAGAUGAGCUCGCGUCUGAUUAGCUAGUUGGUGAGGUAAAGGCUCACCAAGGCAGCGAUCAGUAGCUGGUCUGAGGGGAUGACCAGCCACACUGGGACUGAGACACGGCCCAGACUCCUAGGGGAGGCAGCAGUGGGAAAUUGUACGAAAGGGGCGAAAGCCUGACGGAGAAAUACCGCGUGAGGGAAGAAGGCUCUUGGGUUGUAAACCUCUUGUCUGAGGGAAGAACAAAAUGACGGUACCGAAGGAAGCAGCAUCGGCUAACUCCGUG